rnacentral:lncRNA from 1 species
GAAUAAAGAAUGAUUGUUAAUAAAGUUGUAAGUAGAUAAAUUCCCAGCGAGUCUAAUAUGAAGUCGGACAACCAUCAUCAUGGGCUGUAAUUUUAAAGUCUGUUUUCCUGAAUAACUCAUCCAUCAAUUCAUUACUUUCUUAUCUUACUAGUGGUGAACUAAUCUCCAUAAUAGCUGAGCUGAUCUUUCCCAGACGGUCUCUGACAAGCAUGUUAGGACGGCUUCCCUUGACCAUGGCCAUCUGAUAUACAGAAGAGGAAAAGCUUCAAGUGUUUGGACAUUACCAUGGUUGUGAAUUUCUCUCAAGAAUUUAUCAUACUGCACAAUUCCUGCUUUUUAAUUAAGCCUUCUCCUACUUUCACUUUCAUAUUAUGUUUCUUGUUUGUUCAAUUUUCUCCAAUAACAAACUGAAAAUGAAAUUUCACAGUUGUUUUUUUUACUCCUCAGCCUCAAUUUUAUAGGCUUUAUUAAUUCCUUCAGAGUAUAAUUUAUCUGGAUUUCUAGUUUUUCUAUUCAUAAAACAAAAGGGAUUUGAAUUUGAUAUCCUCUUCCAGCUAAAUAUUUCUUUUUUUUUUUUUAUUCUUCCCAUUAUUUGGACGUAAAAAGAAUAAUUUGAGAAAUAUGACCAGUGAGUUACAUUUGCCCCUUCACAACUUGUUUUGAGAACCUUCCUUUCUGUAACUGGAUACCAAAUAUUUCAUAUUUUACCCACGUUGUUGGCUUCUGAAAGAAUGAAUACAGCCAGGCUUCUUUCAACAGCACUGAAUGAGAGCAUCCAUUGUUUACCAUUAGGGCUCAAAAUAAAAUAUUCUAGUUUAACAACUAGGAGAAAAAGAGAGACAUGUGACUAGUUCCAUUUUGUGCUUGGUUUUGAAAAUGUCAAAAAUGCCUGUGGUUGU